GCAGCAAUUUGGAAAACAACUAAUAUGUCUGACUGUGGGAAUCAAUGUUAAAUAUGGAUACUAUAUGAACGAAAGAGAAGGUUGACACAAGAAACAAAAAUGAAAAUUGCAGUAGAGAGGCACUGGACUGUAAAAUGCAGUAAACUUGUAAGUGACAGCUCUAGAGCGGUACUUAAGCCUGCGGAGGACUGCUUACUACAGGAUAAUACUGUAAGAGGUCUGAGAGAGAGAGAAAAAAAUCUUACCUACAAUGAAGCAAUACUUUGACAAGAGAUUACUCUACCAUCUUUAAUUCUCUUGCAUUGCAAAGCCAGAUCACUGGGGAGGCAUACCUGGGAGACAUGCUAGACAACGCUUGCUCUAAUCUCAAUGAAAACUUGACCAGCCUCUGAGUGUGUUAAUGAGGACUGAUAGCAACAGCAUUCCCAGCUGCAGCCUCUAAGUUCAAAGAUCCACAUCAUGUUCUGAGAGUCUUGGUGGAAGAGGCACAGGUUGUAACACCAUUCUCAAGACAACAUCUGCAAAGACUUCACAAAACUAAUCAGAUCUUCAUUUCUAGCCUCCAACACACCUGUAUCUAACCUAACGGUGGAGGAUGGGUUGGUUCCACCAUAUCACUUUUCAUAGUGCUAGGAAUAUGAAGGAUAACACAAUGUUAUAAACCCUCAGUGAUGUGA